AUUGAACGCUGGCGGCAGGCUUAACACAUGCAAGUCGAGCGGAGAUGAGGUGCUUGCACCUUAUCUUAGCGGCGGACGGGUGAGUAAUGCUUAGGAAUCUGCCUAUUAGUGGGGGACAACAUUCCGAAAGGAAUGCUAAUACCGCAUACGUCCUACGGGAGAAAGCAGGGGAUCUUCGGACCUUGCGCUAAUAGAUGAGCCUAAGUCGGAUUAGCUAGUUGGUGGGGUAACGGCCUACCAAGGCGACGAUCUGUAGCGGGUCUGAGAGGAUGAUCCGCCACACUGGGACUGGGACACGGCCCAGACUCCUACGGGAGGCAGCAGUGGGGAAUAUUGGACAAUGGGGGGAACCCUGAUCCAGCCAUGCCGCGUGUGUGAAGAAGGCCUUAUGGUUGUAAAGCACUUUAAGCGAGGAGGAGGCUACUGAGACUAAUACUCUUGGAUAGUGGACGUUACUCGCAGAAUAAGCACCGGCUAACUCUGUGCCAGCCGCCGCGGUAA
rnacentral:rRNA from 1 species